rnacentral:tRNA from 1 species
GGGCUUGUAGCUCAGAGGRUUAGAGCACGUGGCUACGAACCACGGYGUCGGGGGBUCGAAUCCCUCCUCGCCCA